rnacentral:rRNA from 1 species
GUUGCUUCGGUAACUGAGCUAGCGGCGGACGGGUGAGUAAUGCUUAGGAAUCUGCCUAUUAGUGGGGGACAACUUUCCGAAAGGAAUGCUAAUACCGCAUACCCCCUACGGGGGAAAGCAGGGGAUCUUCGGACCUUGCGCUAAUAAAUGAGCCUAAGUCAAAUUAGCUAGUUGGGGGGGUAAAGGCCCACCAAGGCGACAAUCUGUAGCGGGUCUGAAAGGAUGAUCCGCCACACUGGGACUGAAACACGGCCCAAACUCCUACGGGAGGCAGCAGGGGGGAAUAUUGGACAAGGGGCGCAAGCCUGAUCCAGCCAUGCCGCGGGUGUGAAAAAGGCCUUUUGGUUGUAAAGCACUUUAAGCGAGGAGGAGGCUACUUGGAUUAAUACUCUAGGAUAGUGGACGUUACUCGCAAAAUAAGCACCGGCUAACUCUGUG